GCUAAACUGAGGGAUGGGCAGAGAAGGGCAAACUGUAACUACAGUUGAUUUUAGCUCAUGUUUAAAUACAGGAUAUACUCUGUUUUCCUUCUGUACAGGAGAGGGAACUCUUCACAGAUGGGAAGCAUUUCCUGUGAGCCUGUAAUUGUGUAAGCUGGGAGUAAAGAGGAUGCCCAGGUACACAUUUUUGGCUAUGUUUUUGCUGGUGGUGAUCAUGGAGGUGGCUUUUGUUUUUUUCAGCCAUAAGGCUAGUAAGAAUUUUUUCUCCUAAUUAAAGUAAAGCUGGAGGCAUCAUGCUACCUGACUUCAAACUAUACUACAAGGCUACAGUAACCAAAACAGCAUGGUACUGGUACCAAAACAGAGAUAUAGAUCAAUGGAACAGAACAGAGCCCUCAGAAAUAACGCCGCAUAUCUACAACUAUCUGAUCUUUGACAAACCUGACAAAAACAAGAAAUGGGGAAAGGAUUCCCUAUUUAAUAAAUGGUGCUGGGAAAACUGGCUAGCCAUAUGUAGAAAGCUGAAACUGGAUCCCUUCCUUACACCUUAUACAAAAAUUAAUUCAAGAUGGAUUAAAGACUUAAACGUUAGACCUAAAACCAUAAAAACCCUAGAAGAAAACCUAGGCAUUACCAUUCAGGACAUAGGCAUGGGCAAGGACUUCAUGUCUAAAACACCAAAAGCGAUGGCAACAAAAGCCAAAAUUGACAAAUGGGAUCUAAUUAAACUAAAGAGCUUCUGCACAGCAAAAGAAACUACCAUCAGAGUGAACAGGCAACCUACAAAAUGGGAGAAAAUUUUUGCAACCUACUCAUCUGACAAAGGGCUAAUAGCCAGAAUCUACAAUGAAUUCAAACAAAUUUACAAGAAAAAAACAAACAACCCCAUCAAAAAGUGGGCGAAAGACAUGAACAGACACUUCUCAAAAGAAGACAUUUAUGCAGCCAAAAAACAUGAAAAAAUGCUCACCAUCACUGGCCAUCAGAGAAAUGCAAAUCAAAACCACAAUGAGAUACCAUCUCACACCAGUUAGAAUGGCAAUCAUUAAAAAGUCAGGAAACUACAGGCGCUGGAGAGGAUGUGGAGAAAUAGGAACACUUUUACACUGUUGGUGGGACUGUAAACUAGUUCAACCAUUGUGGAAGUCAGUGUGGCGAUUCCUCAGUGAUCUAGAAUAGAAAUACCAUUUGACCCAGCCAUCCCAUUACU
rnacentral:lncRNA from 1 species